GAGACCAGAGCCGGCCCUCUUCCUGUUCCAGUCCAGAACUGAAGGGGGGUUUCCCUGCGCCCUCUGCGACUCCGACAUGUGCCCCCGGUACCUCCGAACAGACCAGAGAAGGGGAAGUGUCUGGAGGUGAAGCAGCAAUCUUGCAACCAUGAGUACAGAAACAACACAUUAAGUAUGGAGAAGCUGGAAAAGAAAAGGAGCCGGAUACCACUCAAC